AACGUAGGACACAAGCGUUAUCCGGAGUUACUGGGCGUAAAGGGUGUGUAGGAGGCCAGGUAAGUCAGGUGUGAAAUCUCAGAGCUUAACUCUGAAACUGCGCUUGAUACUGCUUGGCUAGAGGAUCGGAGGGGGUAACGGAAUUUAUGGUGUAGCAGUGAAAUGCGUAGAUAUCAUAAGGAACACCGGUGGCGAAGGCGGUUACCUGGAAGAUUCCUGACUCUGAAACACGAAAGCCAGGGGAGCAAACGGG
rnacentral:rRNA from 1 species